rnacentral:rRNA from 1 species
AGAGUUUGAUCCUGGCUCAGAGCGAACGCUGGCGGCAGGCCUAACACAUGCAAGUCGAGCGGCCGUAGCAAUACGGCAGCGGCAGACGGGAGAGUAACACGUGGGAACGCGCCCUUCGGUUCGGAAUAACUCAGGGAAACUUGGGCUAAUACCGAAUACGCCCUUACGGGGAAAGAUUUAUUGCCGAAGGAACGGCCCGCGUCCGAUUAGCUUGUUGGUGAGGUAACGGCUCACCAAGGCGACGAUCGGUAGCUGGUCUGAGAGGAUGACCAGCCUCACUGGGACUGAGACACGGCCCAGACUCCUACGGGAGGCAGCAGUGGGGAAUAUUGGACAAUGGGCGCAAGCCUGAUCCAGCCAUGCCGCGUGAGUGAUGAAGGCCUUAGGGUUGUAAAGCUCUUUUAGCAGGGAAGAUAAUGACGGUACCUGCAGAAAAAGCCCCGGCUAACUUCGUGCCAGCAGCCGCGGUAAUACGAAGGGGGCUAGCGUUGCUCGGAAUUACUGGGCGUAAAGCGCACGUAGGCGGCUUUCUAAGUCGGGGGUGAAAUCCUGGAGCUCAACUCCAGAACUGCCUUCGAUACUGGAAAGCUCGAGUCCGGGAGAGGUGAGUGGAACUGCGAGUGUAGAGGUGAAAUUCGUAGAUAUUCGCAAGAACACCAGUGGCGAAGGCGGCUCACUGGCCCGGUACUGACGCUGAGGUGCGAAAGCGUAGGGAGCAAACAGGAUUAGAUACCCUAGUAGUCC